rnacentral:ncRNA from 1 species
AGGAGCCGGAUGCGGGGAAACUCGCACGUCCGGUUCUGGAGCCGAGUCUGGGUAGCGAUACCCCGGCUUAGGCAAC